AUUGAACGCUGGCGGCAUGCUUUACACAUGCAAGUCGAACGGCAGCACGGGGGCAACCCUGGUGGCGAGUGGCGAACGGGUGAGUAACACAUCGGAACGUGCCCAGUUGUGGGGGAUAACCUAUCGAAAGGUAGGCUAAUACCGCAUGAGCUCGGCAAGAGGAAAGCGGGGGACUCAGCGAUGGGCCUCGCGCGACUGGAGCGGCCGAUGUCCGAUUAGCUAGUGGUGGGGUAAAGGCUUACCAAGGCGACGAUCGGUAGCUGGUCUGAGAGGAUGAUCAGCCACACUGGGACUGAGACACGGCCCAGACUCCUACGGGAGGCAGCAGUGGGGAAUUUUGGACAAUGGGGCAACCCUGAUCCAGCCAUGCCGCGUGAGUGAAGAAGGCCUCGGUGUAAG
rnacentral:rRNA from 1 species